rfam:Folsomia candida strain VT population Fcan01_Sc001, whole genome shotgun sequence.
CCAACGGCCCUUUUUAAGGGCCACCACAUUUUCCGAAGAGCAAUUGUU